GACGAACGCUGGCGGCGUGCUUAAUACAUGCAAGUCAACGACUUUUAGAGUAGCAAUAUUUUAAAAGGAGUGGCGCACGGGUGAGUAACACGUAGGUAAUCUGCCUUCAGGACUGACACAACUCGUCGAAAGACGGGCUAAUAUCAGAUAAUGCAGCGGCUCCGCAUGGAGACAGUUGUUAAAGUACAAGCGCCUGAAGAUGAGCCUGCGGUCCAUUAGCUAGUUGGUAGAGUAACAGCCUACCAAGGCAACGAUGGAUAGCUGGUCUGAGAGGAUGAUCAGCCACACUGGAACUGAGACACGGUCCAGACUCCUACGGGAGGCAGCAGUAAGGAAUAUUGCUCAAUGGCCAAAAGGCUGAAGCAGCAACGCCGCGUGAAGGAUGAAUGGCCUUUGGCCUGUAAACUUCUGUAAAAGGGAAAACAAUCAGGCAUGUCCUGAUUUGAUUGUACCUUUGAAGUUAAGCCCCGGCUAACUACGUGCC
rnacentral:rRNA from 1 species